rnacentral:rRNA from 1 species
GAUGAACGCUGGCGGCGUGCCUAAUACAUGCAAGUCGAGCGAACAGACGAGGAGCUUGCUCCUCUGACGUUAGCGGCGGACGGGUGAGUAACACGUGGAUAACCUACCUAUAAGACUGGGAUAACUUCGUGAAACCGGAGCUAAUACCGGAUAAUAUAUUGAACCGCAUGGUUCAAUAGUGAAAGACGGUUUUGCUGUCACUUAUAGAUGGAUCCGCGCCGCAUUAGCUAGUUGGUAAGGUAACGGCUUACCAAGGCAACGAUGCGUAGCCGACCUGAGAGGGUGAUCGGCCACACUGGAACUGAGACACGGUCCAGACUCCUACGGGAGGCAGCAGUAGGGAAUAUUCCGCAAUGGGCGAAAGCCUGACGGAGCAACGCCGCGUGAGUGAUGAAGGUCUUCGGAUCGUAAAACUCUGUUAUUAGGGAAGAACAAAUGUGUAAGUAACUAUGCACGUCUUGACGGUACCUAAUCAGAAAGCCACGGCUAACUACGUG